GCGGGGAUAGCUCAGCGGUAGAGCGUCACCUUCCCAAGGUGAGGGCCGCGGGUUCGAAUCCCGUUCCCCGCU
rnacentral:tRNA from 1 species